UACGUAGGGUGCAGGCGUUAAUCGGAAUUACUGGGCGUAAAGCGUGCGCAGGCGGUUUCUUAAGUCAGAUGUGAAAGCCCCGGGCUUAACCUGGGAACUGCGUUUGAAACUGGGAGACUUGAGUGUGGCAGAGGGGGGUGGAAUUCCACGUGUAGCAGUGGAAAUGCGUAGAUAUGUGGAGGAACACCGAUGGCGAAGGCAGCCCCCUGGGUUAACACUGACGCUCAUGCACGAAAGCGUGGGGAGCAAACAGG
rnacentral:rRNA from 1 species